GACGAACGCUGGCGGCGUGCCUAAUACAUGCAAGUCGAACGCUUCUUUUUCACCGAACUUCGGUUCAUCGAAAAAGAGGAGUGGCGAACGGGUGAGUAACACGUGGGUAACCUGCCCAUCAGAAGGGGAUAACACUUGGAAACAGGUGCUAAUACCGUAUAAUGCUUUUUCUCGCAUGAGAGCAAGCUGAAAGGCGCUUUUGCGUCACUGAUGGAUGGACCCGCGGUGCAUUAGCUAGUUGGUGAGGUAACGGCUCACCAAGGCCACGAUGCAUAGCCGACCUGAGAGGGUGAUCGGCCACACUGGGACUGAGACACGGCCCAGACUCCUACGGGAGGCAGCAGUAGGGAAUCUUCGGCAAUGGACGAAAGUCUGACCGAGCAACGCCGCGUGAGUGAAGAAGGUUUUCGGAUCGUAAAACUCUGUUGUUAGAGAAGAACAAGGAUGAGAGUAAAAUGUUCAUCCCUUGA
rnacentral:rRNA from 1 species